AGCUUGAAUUAUAGAGUUUCCGGCCCCCGACCAAUAGAAAUCGAGGGUAUCGAGAUCUUUUCCGUAACAUCCAGAUAUCAAAUCUACUCGCCAAACUUACUCGCACAACCAAACUGAUACCCUAAUUCGUGAGCUCGAAAGAACAUGCAUAGGAAAAAAAGGAGUUUCCCGAUGCUUAUACGGGGUAUAAUUGUUCUAACAAUAUUGGUUUCUAGACGGUAUUCUUUGAGCAUUCUAUAAGUUGUCUUCAAUGAGAUAUGGAAGGGGAAAUAAGAGCAUGGAAACCAAUGGAAUAUGCCAGGACAAUGAUGAGAGGGUAAUGUAAAUCAUCUGAGGUAAAGUCUGGCAUCACAUAGAAAUGAAAUGAAGUUCAUCAUGCCCCAUGGAGCACUAAUAAUGAUCCAAGGUUCUUUUCUCGAGGGAUUCAAUGUUUAUGUUCUUAUGAUUGAUCUUCAUGUGAGCAAAAAUGAAUACAGUUUUUGGAGAGUCCGAAUAAUGCUAAUGGAAUUUUUGAUGUUGCAAAGUACUUUUACACAAUUGUAGUAUAAGAAACAGUGUUCCAAGAGAAAGGUAAGCACAAAAUUGUAGAGAGAUGGAAGUAGAAGAGUGUUAUAAGAGAGAAGCGCAGAUGAUAGCUUCACGGGAUACCAGGGGAAAUUCUUAAGGAAAUAGAAGAAGAUGAUCAAAUGAGCGAAAAACACUUUCCAGUAUAAAGAGACAUUUGAGAUGGAGUUUUUUAUUAGCGACAGAUAAACUUCAUCGAACAGGUCACAUUUCUCCCAGAACUGUAGUCAAACUACUUUGGCUCAACUUUGGUGGAUGUGUUUGGUACAUUAAUGAAAACUUCUGCUACACAAGGAGGUAGGUAUUCCUUUCUUUUUCCUACCAUGUUUUGAAGCUAGAUUUGUCGAUGCUUUAUUUUUUUUUUCUUAACUACGUUAAAGUUAAUAGACCAGACUAGCUGUGCAAUUAUAGUGAUGUGCUUGAAGCAUUUUCAUAUGUAAGUGGGUCCUGAAAUGGUUGCUAAAUAGCACAUGGUGACAAGGUGCAAUAAGGUUAACAAAUCUCAUUCAGAUGUUAAUGUGGACGUACUACGCACAAUAUCAACUCCAAUUUCUAAGUUUCAUUGUCGAUAAUACAAAAUUCUUAAAUGUUAUUUUAGUUUUGGAUUGUGGGUUAUAUGUUUCCCUAUUCAUAUGUAGACAAAUAUCACUCUUUUUAUUUGGCGAAUAGUUUUCGUAUGUGGUUUGUGUUAGGUGGCAUGAUUUGUUAAGUGGAAAUAAUAUUAUAUUUGUCAUCAAGUAGCUUAAUUAAGAUAGUUCUUAUGAGAAAUGAAUCUUUUAGAUGGACUCACAAUGAACAGUCCUUACAUUUCUACAGGGUAAAUGCUUUCAAUUACAUCAAUGAAUUCGGUUUAAUUUGUUUAUCUAUCGUGACAUUGUUGCCGGUAUUGGGUUGUUCAUGAGCAUUUAAGGGUCAAUGUUUAUUUUAACGUAACUAUUUUUAAAAAUUGAGUGAACAAGCUCAGCUUGAGCUUGCCAAAGAAAUGAUACAAUGGUGGGAAGGAACCAGUAUUAGUGGCAUCCCUUUUCGCAAGGCAUCCUACUGAAAGGCAAAAUGGCGGAAGCAGAUGGAGUGGUGGCUUCUGACACAACAAUAAUUACGAAAUCUAACUGAUUUGGGUUAGUGUUUCUAGAUCUAAUACUUACUGCUUUUUAAAAGCAUCUAUGAUUAGAUGUAACAAUACUAACCCAAUAUCAACUGGAAAAAAAAGAUGACACGACCAGUUAUAUGUAUGUUAGGAACUUAGUAAGUUGACAUUCUCCAUUGCUUGUAUGAUAUUUUACGUGGAACAAGAAUAAGAGGUUAUGGACAUGAACUCAAUAAACAACCAGGAUAUAAUGUUUCAAAGUCAUGGAGUUAAAGAUACUGUCUUAGAAGAAGUAGGUGAAGCUACGGUUAGAACCAUACACAAAAAUGUCAAACUACGGUGAUUUGAGAUGGGAUUAACUGGAGUUCCAGUAGGAAUUUAAUUUACUUCUAAAUUAUAUACUAAAUGGAAUUUAUAGUUUGUAAAUCCGUCUCUGUGAAGAUGUUGAAUCUUACUUACUUUCCAAGUUCUUUUAUGCCGCAUUCUUGAAAGAUGAAGGUAAUUCCCAUCUUUUGCAUAAAUGACAAGUGCAGUAGAAUUUGUUAAGCAAAAUCAUACUUAUCUUUAACUUUAAUUGUGUAACAUUAUUGCUUUC